GAUGAACUCUCGGAGCGUAACUCUUUCUUAGGGAAGAAUUCUGACGGUACCUAAGGAAUAAGCACCGGCUAACUCGUGCCAGCAGCGCGGUAAUACGGAGGGUGCAAGCGUUACUCGGAAUCACUGGGCGUAAAGGGCGCGUAGGCGGAUUAUCAAGUCUCUUGUGAAAUCUAAUGGCUUAACCAUUAAACUGCUUGGGAAACUGAUAGUCUAGAGUGAGGGAGAGGCAGAUGGAAUUGGUGGUGUAGGGGUAAAAUCCGUAGAUAUUACCAAGAAUACCCAUUGCGAAGGCGAUCUGCUGGAACUCAACUGACGCUAAGGCGCGAAAGCGUGGGGAGCAAACAGGAUUAGAUACCCUGGUAGUCCACGCCCUAAACGAUGUACACUAGUUGUUGGGGUGCUAGUCAUCUCAGUAAUGCAGCUAACGCAUUAAGUGUACCGCCUGGGGAGUACGGUCGCAAGAUUAAAACUCAAAGGAAUAGACGGGGACCCGCACAAGCGGUGGAGCAUGUGGUUUAAUUCGAAGAUACGCGAAGAACCUUACCUGGGCUUGAUAUCCUAAGAACCUUUUAGAGAUAAGAGGGUGCUAGCUUGCUAGAACUUAGAGACAGGUGCUGCACGGCUGUCGUCAGCUCGUGUCGUGAGAUGUUGGGUUAAGUCCCGCAACGAGCGCAACCCACGUAUUUAGUUGCUAACGGUUCGGCCGAGCACUCUAAAUAGACUGCCUUCGUAAGGAGGAGGAAGGUGUGGACGACGUCAAGUCAUCAUGCCCG
rnacentral:rRNA from 1 species